AUUAGAUACCCCACUAUGCUUAGCCCUAAACAUAGAUAAUUUUACAACAAAAUAAUUCGCCAGAGGACUACUAGCAAUAGCUUAAAACUCAAAGGACUUGGCGGUGCUUUAUAUCCCUCUAGAGGAGCCUGUUCUAUAAUCGAUAAACCCCGAUAAACCUCACCACCUUUCGCUAAUUCAGUCUAUAUACCGCCAUCUUCAGCAAACCCUCAAAAGGUAGAACAGUAAGCACAAUCAUUUUACAUAAAAAAGUUAGGUCAAGGUGUAACUUAUGAGGUGGGAAGAAAUGGGCUACAUUUUCUACCCAAGAACAUUUCACGAAUGUUUUUAUGAAAUUAAAAACUGAAGGAGGAUUUAGUAGUAAAUUAAGAAUAGAGAGCUUAAUUGAAUAGGGCCAUGAAGCACGCACACACCGCCCGUCACCCU
rnacentral:rRNA from 1 species